rnacentral:rRNA from 1 species
GGAUAACAUGCCCUUAAGUGGAGGAUAAUCUCGGGAAAUUGAGGAUAAUACUCCAUAGAUCAUGAAAUCUGGAAUGAUUCAUGGUUCAAAGUUCCGGCGCUUAAGGAUUGGUCUGCGGCCUAUCAGGUAGUAGUGGGUGUAACGUACCUACUAGCCUAUGACGGGUAUGGGCCUUGAGAGAGGGAGCCCAGAGUUGGAUUCUGAGACACGAAUCCAGGCCCUACGGGGCGCAGCAGUCGCGAAAACUUCACACUGGGGGCAACCCCGAUGAGGGAAUUCCUAGUGCUAGCGCUUUUUGUGCUAGCUUUUCUUCAGUAUAGAUAGCUGGAGGAAUAAGGGCUGGGUAAGACGGGUGCCAGCCGCCGCGGUAAUACCUGCAGCCCAAGUGGUGGUCGAUUUUAUUGAGUCUAAAACGUUCGUAGCCGGUUUGAUAAAUCCUUGGGUAAAUCGGAGAGCUUAACUUUCCGACUUCCGAGGAGACUGUCAAACUUGGGACCGGGAGAGGCAAGAGGUACUUGAGGGGUAGGGGUAAAAUCCUGUAAUCCUUUAAGGACCACCGGUGGCGAAGGCGUCUUGCUAGAACGGAUCCGACGGUGAGGGACGAAGCCCUGGGUCGCAAACGGGAUUAGAUACCCCGGUAGUCCAGGGUGUAAACGCUGCAGACUUGGUGUUGGAGAUCCUUCGUGGGUAUUCAGUGCCGGAGAGAAGUUGUUAAGUCUGCUACUUGGGGAGUACGUCCGCAAGGAUGAAACUUAA